AUACUACUCCCUCCGUCCGGAAAUACUUGUCAUGAAAAUGAAUAAAAGAGGAUGCAUUUAGAUAUAUUUUAGUUCUAGAUACAUCUUUUUUUGUCCAUUUUGAUGACAAGUAUUUUCGGACGGAGGGAGUACAAG
rfam:Triticum aestivum genome assembly, contig: Triticum_aestivum_CS42_TGACv1_scaffold_516053_6BS